GUAGGGAAUAUUGGGCAAUGGUCGGAAGACUGACCCAGCCAUGCCGCGUGCAGGAAGACGGCCCUCUGGGUUGUAAACUGCUUUUAUCUGGGAAGAAAAAGGCCAUGCGUGGCAAAUUGCCGGUACCAGAUGAAUAAGCACCGGCUAACUCCGUGCCAGCAGCCGCGGUAAUACGGAGGGUGCGAGCGUUGUCCGGAUUUAUUGGGUUUAAAGGGUGCGUAGGCGGGUGAUUAAGUCAGCGGUGAAAGACUUCGGCUUAACCGGAGCAGUGCCGUUGAGACUGGUUGGCUUGAGUGUCGGAGGGGUACAUGGAAUUGAUGGUGUAGCGGUGAAAUGCAUAGAUACCAUCAGGAACACCGAUAGCGAAGGCAUUGUACUGGCCGACAACUGACGCUGAUGCACGAAAGUGUGGGGAUCGAACAGGAUUAGAUACCCCGGUAGUCC
rnacentral:rRNA from 1 species